rnacentral:tRNA from 1 species
GUCAGAAUGGCCGAGCGGUCUAAGGUGCUGAGUUCAAAUCGCAGACUCCGCUGGAGGAGCGGGUUCGUAAUCCCACUUCCGAUA